AGAGUUUGAUCAUGGCUCAGAUUGAACGCUGGCGGCAUGCCUUACACAUGCAAGUCGAACGGUAACGCGGGGCAACCUGGCGACGAGUGGCGAACGGGUGAGUAAUGCAUCGGAACGUGCCCAGUAGUGGGGGAUAGCCCGGCGAAAGCCGGAUUAAUACCGCGUACGACCUACGGGUGAAAGCGGGGGACCGUAAGGCCUCGCGCUAUUGGAGCGGCCGAUGUCAGAUUAGGUAGUUGGUGGGGUAAAGGCCUACCAAGCCUACGAUCUGUAGCUGGUCUGAGGGGACGACCAGCCACACUGGGACUGAGACACGGCCCAGACUCCUACGGGAGGCAGCAGUGGGGAAUUUUGGACAAUGGGCGCAAGCCUGAUCCAGCCAUGCCGCGUGCGGGAAGAAGGCCUUCGGGUUGUAAACCGCUUUUGUCAGGGAAGAAAUCCUUUGGGUUAAUACCCCGGGGGGAUGACGGUACCUGAAGAAUAAGCACCGGCUAACUACGUGCCAGCAGCCGCGGUAAUACGUAGGGUGCAAGCGUUAAUCGGAAUUACUGGGCGUAAAGCGUGCGCAGGCGGUUUUGUAAGACAGAGGUGAAAUCCCCGGGCUCAACCUGGGAACUGCCUUUGUGACUGCAAGGCUUGAGUGCGGCAGAGGGGGAUGGAAUUCCGCGUGUAGCAGUGAAAUGCGUAGAUAUGCGGAGGAACACCGAUGGCGAAGGCAAUCCCCUGGGCCUGCACUGACGCUCAUGCACGAAAGCGUGGGGAGCAAACAGGAUUAGAUACCCCGGUAGUCCAA
rnacentral:rRNA from 1 species